rnacentral:lncRNA from 1 species
AUUUCGUCAGAAGUGAAUAAGAUAUUUAUGGUUCAGGUGUGCCUUGCCUUUCUCUGGAUCCUUGGGUCUUUUACAUUCCUGUGAUCAAUGAUAAUAAGAAGUGUCUUUUGUCGGAUAAACAGUUGGGAGACCAUGGCUAUGGGGCUGGCGUUCCUUUACCUUAAAACUUGAUCAAAGUUAUACCAUCCUCAUUUGUGGGGGUUUGUUUUUAGUUUUUGAAGGUUUUUAAACUAAUUUCCAUUUUACCCUAUAAAUUUCGUGUGUAUGAAUCCGAAAGUGUCUACAUCGUAGAAUAGCCAUUCCCUGAAGAUGACUGUUGUUUGUUUAGAAGGACCAUUCUUCCCUCUUUCCACCCAGUAAUCUGAUUUUAAAUGAUUUGUGAAUGUCCUUUGAGGUACUUGGAGCCUGUUGGUACCUGAUUUCUAUAGAACGAAACGCUACGUGCUGGAAAAAAGCCUGUCGAAAUAAUUGACUGCGUCAACUGUUCAAUGUAUUGUGCAGAUAGUGCGAGAUUUAAAGUAUUCCUGAAUGAGUCCUGCCCCAUACAGACCCCUAAUGCUACACUCGCCCAUUUUGGAAUUUUCCACGAUUCACUGAAAUCUAGUGUCGUUGUAUCAACAGAUUUUCCAUAGAAGUUCUUUUACUGCUUUUUGUGGGGCCUGCAAAAUCUGAGGUAUCCAAAGAUAAUACAUCCUUGGAUGGAUACUCAUUUUUACGAGAGUAGUUCUUAGUGGCAUUUUUCAUCAACAAACAUGAACUUGUGCUACCUCUAGGAAUUAGUUCUUGAUACUACUCCGGAACGUUGAUAAUGGCAUGUCUAUUGAAAGGAUGCGACAAUUAAAAAAGGUUUUUGUUUUUUUGUUUUGUUGUUCCCACACGUAACGGUGCAGUGAAACUCGUACGCCAGUCGAUUAAUGUCCUGAUUUACACCAUUAUGCAGAUUACAUAACUAUACAUGCUCUCUCUCUCUCUCUUACGCGCACAUACAGACACAAAUAUAGAAUGAUAUUCCUGCAAUGGCAAUAUGCUUUUGUAUAAAUGUCAUUUACAUUAGUAAAGAAUAUGUUGUGCCUUAUAUAUUAUGUAAUCUAUGGUUAUAGAUUGUUCCAUAUUCAACCCGCCACAACAAGCAAAAAACUGUCAAAAAUCCAUGCUUGAUGUUCAGUUACUGCUGCUAUUUAUCGUCUUUUUUUUUUGGCAUCUAUUGUUUCUCAGAGAUUAAGUGCAUAAUCAAAGCUUUUUCUUCCUUUAUUAUUUUGCAUUAUAGUUCUCUCUGCUAAAGUGGGUCCUUUGUUAAUUUUUUAAUUGUCAAACUUUUGCAGUUCUCUUGGUCAAACUCAAAACAAGUACCUUUGUCUGGGAAAUUUUGCUUGCGUUUGCAUUCCAUCUCUGGGCUUGUGUUAUUUUCAUUUCUCAUUGGAAAUAUGCACGUUUGUUUUUGAACAUAUCUAUUUUUUUGCUCUUUGCUAUUCCAUGUGAACGUUGGGAAUCUACGGUGUCCUAGUUACCAGUAACAGUACAACAUGGGUAAUACUGGCAACUUAUUAUUCACUACUCAUGGGGCACACUUUGGUGAUCAUUGACUAAUUUUUUGGUCACUGUACCCGAAUCAACUUUUCUUCGACUUGCUGAAGAAAUCUUUCUGUUUGGGCCGCUAGUGUUCAACAGGACAGUAGACCUCAAAAUGAUUUCCAGAAACCUGCCCUGAUUUGGUCUUUGUCCCUCGUACCGAAGAUGUUUUCUUAAUUGACUGAUUCCAGAGUUUUUUCCAGAAUGCUUCCGAAGACUAAUGGAAGGUAGGGAUGCCCGUUUUUACUCUUAUAACGCCCUUGGUACAGUUCCCUUCCUGAAAUAUUUGUUUCUCCUUUUUAAGUUUCAACGAACAGAAUAUCUCCCGAAGACCAACAAACCGCAAUCAAUAAACUGUACAUAUGGGAUUGACAAAUUAUAUGGGUUCAAAUUGAGUAGCUAGUGUCCCAAAAGGCUUUGAUAGGCAUGUUUCAUGAUCUAGUCAAUGCGCCCAGACAAUCCUUUUUUGGUCCUGGUUUCUUGUAAAACUUAAUCGCCUAAUUCCUUUUUCGUGUAACAGACUUUUCUGCAGUCCAGAAAAAUAAGAUUGGAGGAGUUAGAGUCAAAAGGUGAGAUGCAGAACAAGGGAUGUCCCACCGUUUGCUUCCCGAAGUCUUCAGGGAACGAAUUCGACGAUACUAACAGUACAAAUGGCAGAACUUAGAGGGGGUUGAGGAAGAGAAUCUGAUCAUCAAUCUUCCAAAAGACUAAGGAGGGACAUAUAACGCCAUCUCUGCUUGGCUCUGCUCAUGAUUAAUCUUACCCAUUGUUCUGGAAUGCAUGUAAUGUUGCCCCUGUUUCCAAAAAUGGACGAACACUGUUGGAUGCAAUGUGCGACCGUUAAAACCGUUUUGCUUACAAGGAAGACACUUCAUCGUGCGAGAGGGGGACCCAGUUGGCGAGAUGCUCGGCGUAAUGGGGGUAAAAUUAU